UUCCGUUUUUUUUUCUCAUUUAUUUUCACCCAAACCAACGCCAUCCCCUUUUCUCCCCCCUCAACCCCUCGUCGUCGCCUCUCCGAUUCGCCGACUCGUCUCAUGAACUGAUCUCUCCAUCGCCAUGGAAGAGAUCUCCAAUCUCUUAGACCUCUUCAAGGAUCGCAGUCCCCCUCGCGAUUUCGCUCACCGCUUCCGCUCCGCUCCGAUCAAGUCCGGUCUCUUUCGAUUCCUUGCGAUCCUCGAUUCCGAAGCCCGGCUAGGGUUGGAAUCGUGUAGCGCGUCUCAGAUCGAUGCAGUCAUCUUCGCCGCCAAAUUGCUCGUCGGCUCUUCUCUCUCGAUUUCAGCGGAGAGCGGAGAGUCGUUGGUUUUGGUGAUCCUUGAGAAGUCGGUGGAGUUUUGCCUCUCUAUUCUAGAGAAGCUGAAGUUCGAUGACGCCGAUUUCAGCUUGCAGAACUCAUUACCAUUCGGCGCUGAGGUACUUUGUGACCGAACGUGGAUCGGAAAAUGAGGAUGGAAGCAUUUUUACAUAUCAAAACACCAAAAAAUAGCUCGGUGCCAUCAUCUCCUAUUGUUCUAAUUCAACAAUAGGUCAAGGAUUGUCCGAAUUAGGGCUUGCUUCAAGUCUUCAUCUUGCUUCUUAAUCACUUUCAUCCGUUUAUUAUCGACAACAAAGUGCUUCCUUGCCUUCUUCAACUACUCACGCAUAAUUACAAAAAGAGCAU